rnacentral:misc_RNA from 1 species
CAACCAAAACACAAAACACACAAUAGCAGACAAAGAUCACAACACCUGCUAUUUUUUUUUUUUUUUU